AAUUCUCAACCAUCCUUUGAAUUGAUUUUUCGAAGGACGGCUUGGAUGUUGGGAGUUGCCGGCUUACCCCUAGGGGUAUGGUCGGCUCUCCUUAAAAGCAUUAGCGAAAGGUGGCAAGCCCCUGCAUGCACGGCCUUCGACGUGAUAAUGAUCGUCGUGGCUGGAAGUGCGAGGGCGCAGAUCCGUCCUUUGCUUCUAAACAUGGCAUCGGCGACUCUCGCUUCGGCGGGACGAACCUUUACCUCUGAC
rnacentral:misc_RNA from 1 species